AUGAAGACCAUUUUGCGGUUAAAUGGGCUCUUUUUUCUCAAUUCCUUGAUAUGGACCUGUGCUGGGGACUGGUCGGCUAUUCAAGUACAAUGCACCCAGUUUUGGUUCUGUGCCAGGAUUAAACCCACGAUAUUUCACAAUUUGUAUAUGAACCCCGAUGAAGUGUUUCUAGGAGAUGGCUGCCUUGUAACCUAGUUUUGCCAAAUAUCUACUAUGAGUUUUUCUACCAUCCUCAUGACUGUGGUAACUCAACCUCUCCAGGAAGUUCUUCUGCUUAAAACUAAAAUCAAGUAUAUCUCAAGAGACUACUGCCGAUCUGAAAUGCCUCUGUCAUGUGUUGUCCGCAAUCAG
rnacentral:lncRNA from 1 species